UGGGGAUGACGUCAAAUCAGCACGGCCCUUAUGUCCAGGGCUACACACGUGUUACAAUGGCCGGUACAAAGGGCAGCUACCUGGUGACAGGAUGCUAAUCCCAAAAGCCGGUCCCAGUUCGGAUUGGAGUCUGCAACCCGACUCCAUGAAGUUGGAUUCGCUAGUAAUCGCGCAUCAGCCAUGGCGCGGUGAAUACGUUCCCGGGCCGUU
rnacentral:rRNA from 1 species